UUAAGUUAUUAAGGGCGCACGGUGGAUGCCUUGGCACUAGAAGCCGAUGAAGGACGUUACUAACGACGAUAUGCUUUGGGGAGCUGUAAGUAAGCUUUGAUCCAGAGAUUUCCGAAUGGGGAAACCCAGCAUGAGUUAUGUCAUGUUAUCGAUAUGUGAAUACAUAGCAUAUCAGAAGGCACACCCGGAGAACUGAAACAUCUUAGUACCCGGAGGAAGAGAAAGAAAAUUCGAUUCCCUUAGUAGCGGCGAGCGAAACGGGAAGAGCCCAAACCAAAAAGCUUGCUUGUUGGGGUUGUAGGACACUCUAUACGGAGUUACAAAGGACGACAUUAGACGAAUCAUCUGGAAAGAUGAAUCAAAGAAGGUAAUAAUCCUGUAGUCGAAAAUGUUGUCUCUCUUGAGUGGAUCCUGAGUACGACGGAGCACGUGAAAUUCCGUCGGAAUCUGGGAGGACCAUCUCCUAAGGCUAAAUACUCUCUAGUGACCGAUAGUGAACCAGUACCGUGAGGGAAAGGUGAAAAGCACCCCGGAAGGAGAGUGAAAUAGAACCUGAAACCGUGUGCUUACAAGUAGUCAGAGCCCGUUAAUGGGUGAUGGCGUGCCUUUUGUAGAAUGAACCGGCGAGUUACGAUUUGAUGCAAGGUUAAGCAGUAAAUGUGGAGCCGUAGCGAAAGCGAGUCUGAAUAGGGCGUUUAGUAUUUGGUCGUAGACCCGAAACCAGGUGAUCUACCCUUGGUCAGGUUGAAGUUCAGGUAACACUGAAUGGAGGACCGAACCGACUUACGUUGAAAAGUGAGCGGAUGAACUGAGGGUAGCCCUAAAGCUAUUUCGGAGAGAACCAGCUAUCUCCAGGUUCGAUUGGAAUUUCUCYGACUAAGGUUUCCAGAGGAAGGCUCGUCCGCUCUGGGUUAGUCGGGUCCUAAGCUGAGGCCGACAGGCGUAGGCGAUGGAUAACAGGUUGAUAUUCCUGUACCACCUAUAAUCGUUUUAAUCGAUGGGGGGACGCAGUAGGAUAGGCGAAGCGUGCGAUUGGAUUGCACGUCUAAGCAGUAAGGCUGAGUAUUAGGCAAAUCCGGUACUCGUUAAGGCUGAGCUGUGAUGGGGAGAAGACAUUGUGUCUUCGAGUCGUUGAUUUCACACUGCCGAGAAAAGCCUCUAGAUAGAAAAUAGGUGCCCGUACCGCAAACCGACACAGGUAGUCAAGAUGAGAAUUCUAAGGUGAGCGAGCGAACUCUCGUUAAGGAACUCGGCAAAAUGACCCCGUAACUUCGGGAGAAGGGGUGCUCUUUAGGGUUAACGCCCAGAAGAGCCGCAGUGAAUAGGCCCAAGCGACUGUUUAUCAAAAACACAGGUCUCUGCUAAACCGUAAGGUGAUGUAUAGGGGCUGACGCCUGCCCGGUGCUGGAAGGUUAAGAGGAGUGGUUAGCUUCUGCGAAGCUACGAAUCGAAGCCCCAGUAAACGGCGGCCGUAACUAUAACGGUCCUAAGGUAGCGAAAUUCCUUGUCGGGUAAGUUCCGACCCGCACGAAAGGCGUAACGAUUUGGGCACUGUCUCAACGAGAGACUCGGUGAAAUCAUAGUACCUGUGAAGAUGCAGGUUACCCGCGACAGGACGGAAAGACCCCGUGGAGCUUUACUGUAGCCUGAUAUUGAAAUUCGGCACAGCUUGUACAGGAUAGGUAGGAGCCUUUGAAACGUGAGCGCUAGCUUACGUGGAGGCGCUGGUGGGAUACUACCCUAGCUGUGUUGGCUUUCUAACCCGCACCACUUAUCGUGGUGGGAGACAGUGUCAAGCGGGCAGUUUGACUGGGGCGGUCGCCUCCUAAAAGGUAACGGAGGCGCUCAAAGGUUCCCUCAGAAUGGUUGGAAAUCAUUCAUAGAGUGCAAAGGCAUAAGGGAGCUUGACUGCGAGACCUACAAGUCGAGCAGGGUCGAAAGACGGACUUAGUGAUCCGGUGGUUCCGCAUGGAAGGGCCAUCGCUCAACGGAUAAAAGCUACCCCGGGGAUAACAGGCUUAUCUCCCCCAAGAGUUCACAUCGACGGGGAGGUUUGGCACCUCGAUGUCGGCUCAUCGCAUCCUGGGGCUGUAGUCGGUCCCAAGGGUUGGGCUGUUCGCCCAUUAAAGCGGUACGCGAGCUGGGUUCAGAACGUCGUGAGACAGUUCGGUCCCUAUCCGUCGUGGGCGUAGGAAAUUUGAGAGGAGCUGUCCUUAGUACGAGAGGACCGGGAUGGACAUACCUCUGGUCUACCAAUUGAGCUAGGCCGGCUAAGAAAUGGUUCAGGACAGAGUCGAACUGCCGACACAUGGAGCUUCAAUCCAUUGCUCUACCAACUGAGCUACUGAACCAUAAUAAAAAUGUAAUGAU
rnacentral:tRNA from 1 species